AUGCGACUAAGGGGUUAUCAAUUGAGCAGGUAGUUGCUGUGAAACAAUUUUUAUAUGAAUAUUUUGAUAGUGUUAUCGAUGGGUUUCUAAUCAAGAUCUCAUAUAUGCAGGGUAAAGGCACACAUCUUAAAGAUAUACCCAAUGUGGCUUACAAGUUAUCAAAGAGAAAGCCUGAUGACAAUUUGCAGGUUCUUCACUCAAUCCUGUUUGGAAAGAAAACAAAGAUACACACAUUAAAGAAAAAUAUUGGCAACUUUUCUGGCUAUGUGUGGAUUGAGAAUGAGG